rnacentral:misc_RNA from 1 species
UUAACUUCAAAUUAGUUUUGCCUAAUACUAAUUACGAUUAAGUAAUUUUAUAUAAUGUAUAUUUAGUUAGUAUGUUAUGGAGUAUGCAUUUCCAAAUUGCUAUGGACGAACGAAUAAAAGGGGAGAAAGAAAAUUAAUAUAACAUUUUCGUUCCUUCAAAGCAAUUUGACAUACUAUGUGGAAAGAAGAUUUUACAAGUCCGAUCACCUUGUAAAACAUCUUUUCUGUGGUGUAAUGGCACCACACGCGAUGUGGUAACAUCUUCUAUGGCAACACUUUUGUUGCCCAAAAUAAUAAAAUUACAUCGCGUGUGUUGUCAACACUGGCGAGCUUACGAUCCACAUUCGUUUCUAGAAGGUGUAUCGUAGGCUGGCUUCAAGAAAGCAUUUCACUCGAUUCUCGCCUUUCAACCUGACCGGUCAAUAAAAUUUUAUAAAGUUUUAAUUAAUUAACUUUUUGUAUAAAUUUUUAAAACAAGUAUUUUUAUUUCUACAAGCGAAAGUAGUAUUCGCGUGUGUACUCUUUUUAUUAUCAAUAUAAACCUUUCUUUAUUGUGGAUACUCGGAGUUUGUAACUCCAUAUGUAGCACUGCUACACAUACACGUAUAGCAGCGGAGCCCCAACUGGAACCGGAGCUGUAACCCGGCGUUUUAAAGGAGUUUCAUCAGUACGCUUUCCCCGCGGAACUUUGGGCAUAAAUGCAGAAUAGCUCCGAUUCUCAUAUAAAAAAGAGACAUAUGGGGAUUGUCUAAGCCGCUGCUUAAGCCGAGUUCAGCGGCGCGACGCGACUCCGAAAAUAAUUACCGAGCGCGCACGGCCGCCUCCCAAUCGUCGUGCGAAAAUCCGCACAAACCAGUUCAGCUACUCAAGUCGGACAACGCGCACGCGCCCCCUUAAUAUCAGCAAUUUUAAAACAUCUUUUUAACUGUGUCAUCCAAAAUAUACUUUGAAUAUAUGAGCAAACUAUUAAGCAAAAUACAUAAAAAUUGAAAACCAACGUAUUUCCUUAAAGCGGAAAGAAACUGUGUGUGUGCAAGGUGAGUGCGAAAGGCAACCAUUGGAAUUAUUCAUGGUCCUUCGCAGCCAACCGUGGCCCAGCUCCUAAAGAAAAAAAAAAA